UGGCCAUACCAUGCUGAAUACCAUACUUGCUGAAUAUACCGGUUCUAAUUAGAUCACCGAAGUCAAGCAUCAUUGGGCGCAGUCAGUACUUGGGUGGGUGACCACCUGGGAACAAGGUGUGCCGU
rnacentral:rRNA from 1 species